rnacentral:rRNA from 1 species
GACAGAGGGUGCGAACGGUUGCUCGGAAUUACUGGGCGUAAAGCGCGUGUAGGCGGGUGAUCAAGUCAGGUGUGAAAUCCCCAGGCUCAACCUGGGAACUGCACUUGAAACUGGUCGCCUUGAGUGUUGGAGAGGGAAGCGGAAUUCCUGGUGUAGAGGUGAAAUUCGUAGAUAUCGAGGAGGAACGACCGGUGGCGAAGGCGGCU